rnacentral:rRNA from 1 species
AGUUGUAAUUUGUANAGGCAUCCUCUGCGUUGGACCGUGUACAAGUCUUCUGGAAUGGAGCGUCAUAGAGGGUGAGAAUCCCGUCCAUGACACGGACCACCAAUGCUUUGUGAGGUGCUCUCGAAGAGUCGCGUUGUUUGGGAAUGCAGCGCAAAAUGGGUGGUAAAUUCCAUCUAAGGCUAAAUAUUUGCGAGAGACCGAUAGCGAACAAGUACCGUGAGGGAAAGAUGAAAAGCACUUUGAAAAGAGAGUUAAACAGUACGUGAAAUUGUUGAAAGGGAAACGCUUGAAGCCAGUCGCGUUCUGUGGCACUCAGCCUUGCUUCGGCUUGGUGUACUUGCCUUAGAACGGGUCAACAUCAAUUUUGGCCGGCGGACAAGGGCAAGGGGAAUGUAGCGUUGUUUCGGCGACGUGUUAUAGCCUCUUGUCGAAUACGUCGGCUGAGAUUGAGGACUACAGCACGCCCUUGUGGCCAGGGUUUACUCCCAUGUAACGUGCUUAGGAUGUUGGCAUAAUGGCUUUAAGCGACCCGUCUUGAAACACGGACCAAGGAGUCUAACAUGCUUGCGAGUGUUCGGGUGGAAAACCCUUGCGCGUAAUGAAAGUGAAAGUUUGGGAGCCUCUGCGAGGAGGUGCACCAACGCCCGGCCCUGAUGUUUUCGGACGGUGCUGCGGUAGAGCAUGUAUGUUAGGACCCGAAAGAUGGUGAACUAUGCCUGAAUAGGG